rnacentral:rRNA from 1 species
UACGGGGGGGGGCAAGCGUUGUUCGGAAUUACUGGGCGUAAAGGGCGCGUAGGCGGCCUACUAAGUCGGACGUGAAAUCCCUCGGCUCAACCGGGGAACUGCGUCCGAUACUGGUGGGCUCGAAUCCGGGAGAGGGAUGUGGAAUUCCAGGUGUAGCGGUGAAAUGCGUAGAUAUCUGGAGGAACACCGGUGGCGAAGGCGGCAUCCUGGACCAAUAUUGACGCUGAGGAGCGAAAGCCAGGGGAGCAAAGCGGG